ACACUCCUGCGGGAGGCAGCAGUGGGGAAUCUUGCGCAAUGGGCGAAAGCCUGACGCAGCCAUGCCGCGUGAAUGAUGAAGGUCUUAGGAUUGUAAAAUUCUUUCACCGGGGACGAUAAUGACGGUACCCGGAGAAGAAGCCCCGGCUAACUUCGUGCCAGCAGCCGCGGUAAUACGAAGGGGGCUAGCGUUGCUCGGAAUUACUGGGCGUAAAGGGAGCGUAGGCGGACAUUUAAGUCAGGGGUGAAAUCCCGGGGCUCAACCUCGGAAUUGCCUUUGAUACUGGGUGUCUUGAGUAUGAGAGAGGUGUGUGGAACUCCGAGUGUAGAGGUGAAAUUCGUAGAUAUUCGGAAGAACACCAGUGGCGAAGGCGACACACUGGCUCAUUACUGACGCUGAGGCUCGAAAGCGUGGGGAGCAAACAGGAUUAGAAACCCCUGUAGUCCC
rnacentral:rRNA from 1 species